UACGGGGGGAGCAAGCGUUGUUCGGAUUUACUGGGCGUAAAGCGCACGUAGGCGGAUUUGUAAGUCAGGGGUGAAAUCCCGGGGCUCAACCUCGGAACUGCCUUUGAUACUGCAAAUCUCGAGUCCGGAAGAGGUGAGUGGAAUUCCUAGUGUAGAGGUGAAAUUCGUAGAUAUUAAGAAGAACACCAGUGGCGAAGGCGGCUCACUGGUCCGGUACUGACGCUGAGGUGCGAAAGCGUGGGGAGCAAACAGG
rnacentral:rRNA from 1 species